ACGAACGCUGGCGGCGUGCUUAACACAUGCCAGUCGAACGGUGAAGGGAUCAGCUUGCUGGUUCUGGAUGAGUGGCGAACGGGUGAGUAACACGUGAGUAACCUGCCCCCUUCUUCUGGAUAACCGCAUGAAAGUGUGGCUAAUACGGGAUAUUCUGCGCCUGCUGCAUGGUGGGUGUGGGAAAGAUAUUGUUUCGGUGGGGGAUGGGCUCGCGGCCUAUCAGCUUGUUGGUGGGGUGAUGGCCUACCAAGGCGGUGACGGGUAGCCGGCCUGAGAGGGUGGACGGUCACACUGGGACUGAGACACGGCCCAGACUCCUACGGGAGGCAGCAGUGGGGAAUAUUGCACAAUGGGCGCAAGCCUGAUGCAGCGACGCCGCGUGAGGGAGGGAGGCCUUCGGGUUGUGAACCUCUUUCGCCAGUGAAGCAGGCCUGUCCCUUGUGGGUGGGUUGACGGUAGCUGGAUAAGAAGCGCCGGCUAACUACGUG
rnacentral:rRNA from 1 species